rnacentral:rRNA from 1 species
CAAGCGGUGGAUGAUGUGGAUUAAUUCGAUGCAACGCGAAAAACCUUACCUACCCUUGACAUGGUCGGAACCCUGCUGAAAAGCGGGGGUGCUCCAAAGAGAACCCAAACACAGGUGCUGCAUGGCUGUCGUCAGCUCGUGUCGUGAGAUGUUGGGUUAAGUCCCGCAACGAGCGCAACCCUUGUCCUGAGUUGCUACGCAAAAGCACUCAAAUGAGACUGCCGGUGACAAACCGGACGAAAGUGGGGAGGAGAUCACGUCCACUCGGCCCUUAUGGUUAGGGCUUCACUACUCAUACGAUGGUCGGAACAGAAGGCUGCCCUCCCGUGAGGGGGAGCUAAUCCCAUAAAACCAAUCGUAUUCCGGAUCGUAUUCUGCAACUCGACUACGUGGAGCUGGAAUCGCUAGUAUUCGCAUAUCAGAAUGCAACGGUGAAUACAAUUCCCGGGUCUUGUACUCACC